UACGGAGGGUGCGAGCGUUGUCCGGAAUCAUUGGGCGUAAAGGGCGCGUAGGUGGCUGGGCAAGCGUGCGGUGAAAGCUCGGGGCUCAACCCCGAGUCGGCCGUGCGAACUGCCGAGCUUGAGCACUGUAGAGGCAGGCGGAAUUCCGGGUGUAGCGGUGGAAUGCGUAGAGAUCCGGAAGAACACCGGUGGCGAAGGCGGCCUGCUGGGCAGUGGCUGACACUGAGGCGCGACAGCGUGGGGAGCAAACAGG
rnacentral:rRNA from 1 species